AUUGAACGCUGGCGGCAUGCCUUACACAUGCGAGUCGAACGGUAACAGGGAGCUUGCUCCGCUGACGAGUGGCGAACGGGUGAGUAAUGCAUCGGAACGUACCCAGUAGUGGGGGAUAACGCAGCGAAAGCUGUGCUAAUACCGCAUACGCACUGAGGUGGAAAGCAGGGGACCUUCGGGCCUUGUGCUAUUGGAGCGGCCGAUGUCAGAUUAGCUAGUUGGUGGGGUAAAAGCUCACCAAGGCGACGAUCUGUAGCUGGUCUGAGAGGAUGAUCAGCCACACUGGGACUGAGACACGGCCCAGACUCCUACGGGAGGCAGCAGUGGGGAAUUUUGGACAAUGGGGGCAACCCUGAUCCAGCCAUGCCGCGUGAGUGAAGAAGGCCUUCGGGUUGUAAAGCUCUUUCGGCCGGGAAGAAAUCGCCAUCUCUAAUAUAGGUGGUGGAUGACGGUACCGGAAUAAGAAGCACCGGCUAACUACGUGCCAGCCGCCGCAGUAAUAC
rnacentral:rRNA from 1 species